rfam:Pteropus alecto contig80286, whole genome shotgun sequence.
GUCUACGGUCAUGCCACUCUGAAUGUGCCUCAUCUCGUCUAACCUCUAAAGCUAAGCAGGGUUGGAUCUAGUUAGUACUUGAAUAGGAGACCACCUAGGAAGACCAGGUGCUGUAGAGG